rnacentral:rRNA from 1 species
CGGGGUGAGUAACGCGUGGGUAACCUGCCCUGUACACACGGAUAACAUACCAAAGGUAUGCUAAUACGGGAUAACAUAAGAAAUUCGCAUGUUUUCUUAUCAAAGCUCCGGCGGUACAGGAUGGAUCCGCGUCUGAUUAGCUAGUUGGUGAGGUAACGGCUCACCAAGGCGACGAUCAGUAGCCGACCUGAGAGGGUGAUCGGCCACAUUGGAACUGAGACACGGUCCAA